rnacentral:rRNA from 1 species
UACAGAGGCCUCAAGCGUUGUUCGGAAUUACUGGGCGUAAAGGGAAUGUAGGUGGUCGGAUAAGUCAGAUGUGAAAGCCCUGGGCUUAACCUGGGAAGUGCAUUUGAUACUGUCCGGCUGGAGUGCGAGAGAGGAAAUCGGAAUUCCUGGUGUAGGGGUGAAAUCCGUAGAUAUCAGGAGGAAUACCGAUGGCGAAGGCAGGUUUCUGGCUCGUAACUGACACUGAGAUUCGAAAGCAUGGGUAGCAAACAGG